GAGAUUGCCACCAUUUACUGGAAGUUUGCAUUUGUUGUCCACUUUAAAAACUUGCUAUCUACAGUUAUCUUUCUGCUACAUUAAAUAAAAUAUCGUGGAGGAACACGAAGAAAAGGGCUGCGCACCUCAACAUAUUCAAGGUCAAGCAGCUUUUUACCAUAUCCAUAGUAUCUUGCUGCUAAAUGAAAGAAUUAGUGUGGAGGGGCAGAGAAAAGGGCACCUCAACAUGUUCAAGGUCAAGCAGAAAUUAGGAGCUAGGUGUGCUUCUCCAGAGCUGAAAACUUCUUGGCAUGAAGAGAAGAAGAAGCAAGAAAAAGCAGUUUUAAAUAUUGAUUACAUCUUCAUAGUACAAAAAAUGAUUCUAAAGAUAAUACUACCUAUGAAAUUAGAAAGCUGAAGUUGCGUUCUGAUGAAUGUGAGAAUGACUUCAAAGAACAGGACACCAAAAGUGCCAUUCUCAAAUCAAAGCACUCUAAAAUGCAGAGCAUAAGAAGAACUAGGACAAAUAAAGAAUCUAACCUAUGAGAGUCAAACCUUUGGAUGUAUUAAUUGAACAGAGAUGGGCUAUUAGAGAUGAAAUAUUUGAGUUGUUACUGUUUUGCACAAAUUCAAUGUUAGAUAAGAAAAAUUUACCUAGUGUUGUAUUUUUGACAGUGAAAGUUUUUUCUUAUGCUUGAUUACAGAUUAAAACUGUUAUGUAUUUUAUUGUUUAAACAUUUAUUGGUCUGCAAUCACAUACAUUUUAAUCUUGAUUUAUAUAUCACAUAUAUGUACAAGUCUAACUUAAAUAAUAAGUGCAUGGACAUUAUUGUGGAAAAAAUAAGACAAUCAUGAUCAAGGGUAGUCUGAAAGAGCUUUGCUGGCAGUAAGUUGCAGAUCUUGAUACCCAAGUAAGAGAAAGGUGGCGUCUCUGACCGAUCCUUUUGCUGUUGCUUGUGGGCGAGUGAGGCUUCUCUGUCAGUGGCUUAGUGAGUCAUAGAUGUAAAAAAUAGAAUAGGCAAAUGAGGUAGAGACAUUUCUGAGUAAAAAAGGGGUAAAUUGUGAUUUUAAUAAAUAUUACAAUUGAUAUUGCAAGAGUAAAUAAAUGAGAAUUGCAAGAGUAAAAUAUUAAUUUGUUUCCUUCCAUUUGAAGUAAGAGAGUUUAUGAAUUAUGAGUUAUGGAAUUGUAAUUAAGGCUUAAAAAAUUGUUAAAUAUACUUUUACAUAUGUUUAUACAGGACUUUUAUAUGUGCAUGUUUCAGAGCUCAUUUUUGAUAUUUUAAAGCAAAGUUAAAAAUAUCACUAUUGAAAUGUUUUGCAUUCCAAUGUAACGUUGCUUUAAUGAGGAUAUGUUAUAUUACAAUCAUCAAGCAAUAAACCUAGCAGUUGGAACAGAAAUGAGCUACAUGUAUUGUAAACAAAUUUAAGCUGCUAUUGUUUUUUGUAAUUGUGAUACUUUUUCCUUAAUUUGAAUUGACAUAACCAAAUGAUAUAAAGGAUUUUUUUGGGUCUUGUAUUUUUCACAGUCAACAUUAAGUAUUUUUAA